rnacentral:piRNA from 1 species
UGCUCAAGAAGUUUGCCGAUUACUAUACC